GCCUGGGUGGCUCAGUCGGUUGGGCAUCCGACUUCAGCUCAGGUCACGAUCUCGCGGUCCGUGGGUUCGAGCCCCGCGUCAGGCU
rnacentral:tRNA from 1 species